rnacentral:rRNA from 1 species
GUGACAUACCACUUGUUGCCUCGGCGGAUCAGCCCGCUCCCGGUAAAACGGGACGGCCCGCCAGAGGACCCCUAAAACUCUGUUUCUAUAUGUAACUUCUGAGUAAAACCAUAAAUAAAUCAAAACUUUCAACAACGGAUCUCUUGGUUCUGGCAUCGAUGAAGAACGCAGCAAAAUGCGAUAAGUAAUGUGAAUUGCAGAAUUCAGUGAAUCAUCGAAUCUUUGAACGCACAUUGCGCCCGCCAGUAUUCUGGCGGGCAUGCCUGUUCGAGCGUCAUUUCAACCCUCAAGCACAGCUUGGUGUUGGGACUCGCGUUAAUUCGCGUUCCUCAAAUUGAUUGGCGGUCACGUCGAGCUUCCAUAGCGUAGUAGUAAAACCCUCGUUACUGGUAAUCGUCGCGGCCACGCCGUUAAACCCCAACUUCUGAAUGUUGACCUCGGAUCAGGUAGGAAUACCCGCUGAACUUAAGCAUAUCAAUAA